AAAUUGAAGAGUUUGAUCAUGGCUCAGAUUGAACGCUGGCGGCAGGCCUAACACAUGCAAGUCGAGCGGUAGCACAGAGAGCUUGCUCUCGGGUGACGAGCGGCGGACGGGUGAGUAAUGUCUGGGAAACUGCCUGAUGGAGGGGGAUAACUACUGGAAACGGUAGCUAAUACCGCAUAACGUCGCAAGACCAAAGUGGGGGACCUUCGGGCCUCAUGCCAUCAGAUGUGCCCAGAUGGGAUUAGCUAGUAGGUGGGGUAACGGCUCACCUAGGCGACGAUCCCUAGCUGGUCUGAGAGGAUGACCAGCCACACUGGAACUGAGACACGGUCCAGACUCCUACGGGAGGCAGCAGUGGGGAAUAUUGCACAAUGGGCGCAAGCCUGAUGCAGCCAUGCCGCGUGUGUGAAGAAGGCCUUCGGGUUGUAAAGCACUUUCAGCGGGGAGGAAGGCGUUAAGGUUAAUAACCUUGGCGAUUGACGUUACCCG
rnacentral:rRNA from 1 species